ACUAAACAUUCAGGACUAUCUUCCACAACUUCACGAGAAUGCAUGAGUCAGAUCAAAGGAUGAAGCUACAGGUGUGCACUAUGAUAAGGGUAUCAUUGGUCAACGAGAAGGACAAAGCAAUUUUUUCCCAAGAACUACAUUUUGGAUAAAAAUACAAGAGACCAA